rnacentral:rRNA from 1 species
GACGAACGCUGGCGGCGUGCUUAACACAUGCAAGUCGAGCGGUAAGGCCCUUUCGGGGGUACACGAGCGGCGAACGGGUGAGUAACACGUGGGUGACCUGCCCUCAGCUCUGGGAUAAGCCUGGGAAACCGGGUCUAAUACUGGAUAUGACUCCAUGACGCAUGUUGUGGGGUGGAAAGCCUUGUGCGGCUGAGGAUGGGCCCGCGGCCUAUCAGCUUGUUGGUGGGGUGANGGCCUACCAAGGCGACGACGGGUAGCCGGCCUGAGAGGACGACCAGCCACACCGGAACUGAGACACGGUCCGGACUCCUACGGGAGGCAGCAGUGGGGAAUAUUGGACAAUGGGGGCAACCCUGAUCCAGCGACGCCGCGUGGGUGAAGAAGGCCUGCGGGUUGUAAAGCCCUUUCGGUGGGGGAAGAAAAGUCUCGACCUAAUACGUCGGGACCUUGACGUAACCCACUAAAGAAGCACCGGCUAACUCUGUGCCAGC